rnacentral:rRNA from 1 species
AGCGAACGCUGGCGGCAGGCUUAACACAUGCAAGUCGAACGGGCAUCUUCGGAUGUCAGUGGCAGACGGGUGAGUAACACGUGGGAACGUACCCUUCGGUUCGGAAUAACUCAGGGAAACUUGAGCUAAUACCGGAUACGCCCUUUUGGGGAAAGGUUUACUGCCGAAGGAUCGGCCCGCGUCUGAUUAGCUUGUUGGUGGGGUAACGGCCUACCAAGGCGACGAUCAGUAGCUGGUCUGAGAGGAUGAUCAGCCACACUGGGACUGAGACACGGCCCAGACUCCUACGGGAGGCAGCAGUGGGGAAUAUUGGACAAUGGGCGCAAGCCUGAUCCAGCCAUGCCGCGUGAGUGAUGAAGGCCUUAGGGUUGUAAAGCUCUUUUGUCCGGGACGAUAAUGACGGUACCGGAAGAAUAAGACCCGGCUAACUUCGUG